rnacentral:rRNA from 1 species
GAUCCUGGCUCAGGAUGAACGCUAGCUACAGGCUUAACACAUGCAAGUCGAGGGGCAGCAUUUUAGUUUGCUUGCAAACUGAAGAUGGCGACCGGCGCACGGGUGAGUAACACGUAUCCAACCUGCCGAUAACUCCGGAAUAGCCUUUCGAAAGAAAGAUUAAUACCGGAUAGCAUACGAAUAUCGCAUGAUAUUUUUUAUUUAAAGAAUUUCGGUUAUCGAUGGGGAUGCGUUCCAUUAGUUUGUUGGG